rnacentral:rRNA from 1 species
AUUGAACGCUGGCGGCAGGCCUAACACAUGCAAGUCGAGCGGAUGAGUGGAGCUUGCUCCAUGAUUCAGCGGCGGACGGGUGAGUAAUGCCUAGGAAUCUGCCUGGUAGUGGGGGACAACGUUUCGAAAGGAACGCUAAUACCGCAUACGUCCUACGGGAGAAAGUGGGGGAUCUUCGGACCUCACGCUAUCAGAUGAGCCUAGGUCGGGUCAGCUAGUUGGUGAGGUAAAGGCUCACCAAGGCGACGAUCCGUAACUGGUCUGAGAGGAUGAUCAGUCACACUGGAACUGAGACACGGGCCAGACUCCUACGGGAGGCAGCAGUGGGGAAUAUUGGACAAUGGGAGAAAGCCUGAUCCAGCCAUGCCGCGUGUGUGAAGAAGGUCUUCGGAUUGUAAAGCACUUUAAGUUGGGAGGAAGGGCAGUAAGUUAAUACCUUGCUGUUUUGACGUUACCAACAGAAUAAGCACCGGCUAACUUCGUGCCAGCAGCCGCAGUAAUAC